UAGCAGUCCACCUGAAGAAGAGAGACACUGAAGCCCAUGAGCAUUAGUUGCUGACCACUUCAUGAAAAAGCCUUCAGCUAAACAAGGAACGAGCCUCAUUAGAAAUUAUGGGAUGAAACCACAGUGUUUUUUUGUGAUGAUGAGGAUGACGAUGACGACUUGGAUCUCCAGGAGUUCAUGAACUGCUCCUUCUCCAGCUCUGCUGGGGAGAAGAACACCAAGCUAGGAAAGGCAGAAACCAUACCACGGCUGUAACAAAAGGUUCAGACCAAAGCUGUCAACACUAAAUGCCAUGAGUACCAAAGGCUUCUACUGGAUCCAGCCACCAACGUCUUAUGAAGUUGCAGUUUCUUUUACUCAGGUAUUUUCAUGAAGUUUUCUUCUGAUGUCACUCUGCUUUCCCCCAAAGAACCACACAACUUGCUCCAACUACUCAAAGAGACCUUGCACUUGUUUUUCCCGAAUAACACCUCUCAAUGCCACACAGCAAACCACUUCUGAAACUGAGGGGCUUUUCGCAGCAGUUUGUACUAUGGAAUUGGUAUCUGACAU